rnacentral:rRNA from 1 species
AGAGUUUGAUCAUGGCUCAGGAUGAACGCUGGCGGCGUGCCUAAUACAUGCAAGUCGAGCGGUAAGGCUCCUUCGGGAGUACACGAGCGGCGGACGGCUGAGUAACACGUAGGAACGUACCCCAAACUGAGGGAUAAGCACCAGAAAUGGUGUCUAAUACCGCAUGUGCUCUUCGGAGUAAAGCUACGGCGGUUUGGGAACGGCCUGCGCAUGAUUAGCUUGUUGGUGAGGUAAUGGCUCACCAAGGCGACGAUCAUUAGCUGGUCUGAGAGGAUGAUCAGCCAGACUGGGACUGAGAACGGCCCAGACUCCUACGGGAGGCAGCAGUAGGGAAUUUUCCACAAUGGACGAAAGUCUGAUGGAGCAACGCCGCGUGCAGGAUGAAGGCCUUCGGGUUGUAAACUGCUUUUAUCUGUGACGAAUUUGACGGUAGCAGAUGAAUAAGGAUCGGCUAACUCCGUGCCAGCAGCCGCGGUCAUACGGAGGAUCCAAGCGUUAUCCGGAAUUACUGGGCGUAAAGAGUUGCGUAGGUGGCAUGGUAAGUUGGUAGUGAAAGCGUGCGGCUCAACCGCAUACACAUUAUCAAAACUGCCAAGCUAGAGGGCGAGAGAGGUAACUAGAAUUCCUAGUGUAGGAGUGAAAUCCGUAGAUAUUAGGAGGAAUACCGAUGGCGUAGGCAGGUUACUGGCUCGUCCCUGACACUAAGGCACGAAAGCGUGGGGAGCAAACGGGAUUAGAUACCCCCGUAGUCC